rnacentral:misc_RNA from 1 species
UACGUAGGUGGCAAGCGUUAUCCGGAAUUAUUGGGCGUAAAGCGCUCGCAGGCGGCCUUUUAAGUCUGAUGUGAAAGCCCACGGCUCAACCGUGGAGGGUCAUUGGAAACUGGGAGACUUGACUGCAGAAGAGGAGAGUGGAAUUCCACGUGUAGCGGUGAAAUGCGUAGAGAUGUGGAGGAACACCAGUGGCGAAGGCGACUCUCUGGUCUGUAACUGACGCUGAGGCACGAAAGCUAGGGUAGCGAACGGG